rnacentral:lncRNA from 1 species
AGAAUUGGAAUUGGAACCAGUAUUUGUACUAGACAGUAUCAAAAGGAAAAUCUUGUUCAUUAAUGACUGUUGACAAAGAUAAAAGCUUCAUCAUUUCUGUUUAAAAUGAGAUUUGUCAGAGGCACCAGUCCCCACAGUAAAAUAAUAAGGAAGAAAUUGGGGAUGAAUUGGUAAAAGUGGGUAUCAUACACCCUAUUUUUCAAAGCAGGAAUCCCAAGUUGAUAUGGCAUAUCAUUGAAUGUUGGAAGCUACGAGGGAGGACAUUCUUUCUUAAGGAAGUAGAAGAAUGAUUAAGAGCCUUGUUGAGAUUCAGGGCUGGGGGUCUGGGAGGAGAAAGACAAUGGAAGGGUAUGUGUCCAGGCAAGGUGGGUGGCAGAAAAGACAUUCAAGCAGUUCUCCAUAACUAGGGCAGAGAGGGCAAGCCGGGAAGUGCUGAGAAAAGGGGCUGGGAAAGGAGAUCAGGACAGACCUGGCAAGUCCUGGAAUGGGUUGUUGGACCCUGGCCCAUUAUAAUAAAACUGUGAAGGGACUUAGAAGAAUCCUGGUAAUGGGACCGUAUUUGCUGUUGAGAAUGUUGCACUACUGGCAAGGCUGAGGGAAGAGGCCUUGGCCAUAGGAAGAAGCGCAGAAUAGGACAGACAAUUUGGUCAUUUAAGGAUUAUCCUUUCAAAAGCCCUCAGUGUGUGAGGGAGGUGAAACCAUGUCUGGAGAGAACCUCAUACUUCAGGGAAGAUUUCUGUUUUUCAGAUAGAAAAUUUGGACGUGUUUACUCUAUGAGCCAUUGGAGGGCAGAAUUGAAAACAGAAGAGAUGCAAUAAUCAAUCUGUAAACUGAGUAGUCAAAGGAGAGGGGCCUUGGAAACAGGCUAUGCUCAGUUAAGGUUUAGAGUGAAUGAAUAAAUAUACUUGUGGGUUUUCUGCUUUUCAGUGCAUGGUGGGUGAUGUCAUAUUAAUCCAUCAUACCUACAAGGCACGUGGCAAAGGACUUGAGGAGAAUCCCACACCCCCUGGCAUUUCGAAGGGGUACUUAAUGCUACUGGAAUUUUCCAACCUGGAUAGUUAAGUUCAUUAUAAAACAGGAUGAUUUCUAGAUUUUUUUUUUCUGAUUAUCAUAAUGCAAAAUUUCUAUAAGUACAUUUUCUUCAUCUUCCAUGCUUCUUUCCCCCUUAUUCCUGGUGUAUGUUCAGUCAUUUCUUGACCCAUCAUGAUCUUUGACAGAAGUAUUUUUAUAUCAUUCGAUGGCAUAUUACAGCUUGUUUUAUUAUGGUAGAUGUUUUUUCUUAAAAUUAUUUUUCAGUAAGAAAAAUACAAAUGAGUCAAGAAAUAGAAUGAGUCAAGUUAAUCUGAUGUUAAAGGUAAAAAUAAUAUAUAACCUGCUCUAGGGUUCAUCUUGGAUUAAUAAAUUGCAGAAGAUAAAUGAGUAGAAACAUCAAUUAUCAGCUUUCACUAGCCAUAGAACAUUCUCGAAGCAAGAUAAUAGAGUUUUAAUAACAAGUUAAUUAUAAGGGCCAGCACUUAAUUCCUUGGAGGACUGCUUUUCUGUUAAUCCUGGAAAGGAUUCAAAUAAGACCUAAUUCACUAAUCUCUUUCCCUCUUUUUUUUUUUUUAACCUCCUCUUCCUCCUUGUCCUCUGUGUAUUUGACUACAAAAGCAAUAAUAACAAGAGAAUUUGCUUUUGAAAAGAAGAAGAUGUACCUUGCCUUGUUGCUAUAUCUAUUUUCUUUUCUGUUACCUGGAAGUCUCCACCUAUGUGUAUAUAUAUUUUGCAUCAACGAAAUCAUAAUGUACAUAAGCUUUUGUAUUCUGAUAUUACACUAAAUAAUACUUUUUUUUUCAUUUCUAAGUGUGAAUAAAACUCAUUUGCCCUGAUACACUAUUAUAUGUUUAACUGUCCCCCUAUUGUUGAGAUAGAAGGUUUUACUUUUCUCUGCUUAAAUAUUUCAUACUAUAACAAAUAUCAUCUAAAGAUAAAUUCCUAGGAACAGAAAUAUUAGAUUAAUUAAUAGGAACAUAAUUGUAGUACUUGCUCUUUACUGACCUCUUGCUCCUUAAAUAUGAACCAAAUUGUAAAUAACAUCGCUGGCCCUGAAAUUGCAUCUGUUAUGACAUAAUUAUUUUAGCCUUCAGCAUUAUCAAGUUUAAUGGUUUAUUAUUCAGGAAGAGUUGAAAUGUUAUAUCAUUUCUCUUUUUUGAUUAUUAAUACAUUCAUUGUAAAAAAUUGUGAAUUUAAGACCAACAUAUAAAUGCUUAAUAAUUUAUGUAUUAGUAAACCAAAAAUAGCCUAUUAAUAAUGAAAACAUUGUUUAAUGUCUUUCAGGUUAAGAAAUAUUUAAUGGGUAGACAACAGCUUUAAAUAAACACACAAAAAAUGAAAUCAACUAAUUUAAAUUGUAGAUAAAGAGCAAUUUCUAAAAUAACUAUUAAAGAGUUGUUCCAAGAGGAAGUAUUACUUACUUUUAAAAAUGUUCCUCGAAUGUGUGAAAAAUAUUUAAAGUGUUAAUCUACUUUCCCGCUACUCAGAUAAUUGCUAAUCCCAGCCACUGAAAUUAAUGUCAACUUUGUUUAGAUCAGCCAUAAUUGUGUAGUUUAAUUCCAUCAUUUGAAAAUAAUAGCAUUCUUGGGUAUGUUUGUUCAUUAUAUAACUUUUUACAUUUAUUUUGAAUCUACCUCAUUUUGUGAUCCUAUAUUUAUUACUACUUUUCUAAAUUAUUUUUAAGAAUCAUAGAAUUUUUAAGAUCAUUUACAAAACUAGAAAAUACUUUAGUCGUCUUGGGUUAAUAAUAUAGCUCUCCCAAAGGUGGAGAAACAGAAAUAUAUUUAUAUAUAUUUGGAAAAUGUAUAUAUGAUAAUAUCCACCAAAGCAUUUUUCAAGGGUGCCAGUUUUAUAAAUUCAUGGUUUGGCCCAUAUUGAUAUAAAAUCUUAUUCCUUGUAUCUUUUUAGAGGAGAGAGCAAUUUGGUUGAAUCUUGGAUUUAGUUUUUGAAAUUUUGGGAAAUGAUUUUGUAAUCAAAUAAUGUGCUUCUAGAAUCAUGUAAGAUCAAUCCAAACUCAUAGAAAUUGAGACCACUUACAAAUAACCAAUUCUCAUUUUUUUAAAAUGGCAUUGUCUCCUUGAAAAUAUUUUGAAAUCCUUGUUUUUCUGAAUAUAUUACUUUGCAGUAUGAAUAAUAGCAGGGAAAAGUCCUUCGUACCAUCCCUGUAGUUAUUCCUCCUACUCAUUAUUUCUCCUACUCAUUCACCUUCUCUCUUCAAAUCAGAGGGAAUAGGCAGAUCCAGAAAAGAUUUAUGGUUGGGGUGGAGAGAAACUGCAUUCUUUGAAGAACAGAGAAUAAAAAUGCCAUAGACAGACUGGCCUUGAGAUUGGAGACUUGGGAAAAAAGAAAGUAAUAAGGAACUUAAGAGUCAGAAAACUCCAGAGUUCCUGCUAUAGUGCAGUGGGUUAAGAAUCCAACUGCAGUGGCUUGGGUCACUAAGGUGGCAUGGGUUCAAUUCCAGCCUGAUACAGUGGAUUGAGGAUCUGAUGUUGCCUCAGCUGUGGUGUAGAUCACAGCUAUUGUUUGGUUUCAGUCCCUGGCCCAGGACUUUCUCUAUGCCACAGGUGUG